GAUGAACGCUGGCGGCGUGCCUAAUACAUGCAAGUCGAACGCAUAGCGAAAGGUGCUUGCACCUUUCAAGUGAGUGGCGAACGGGUGAGUAACACGUGGACAACCUGCCUCAAGGCUGGGGAUAACAUUUGGAAACAGAUGCUAAUACCGAAUAAAACUUAGUGUCGCAUGACACAAAGUUAAAAGGCGCUUCGGCGUCACCUAGAGAUGGAUCCGCGGUGCAUUAGUUAGUUGGUGGGGUAAAGGCCUACCAAGACAAUGAUGCAUAGCCGAGUUGAGAGACUGAUCGGCCACAUUGGGACUGAGACACGGCCCAAACUCCUACGGGAGGCUGCAGUAGGGAAUCUUCCACAAUGGGCGAAAGCCUGAUGGAGCAACGCCGCGUGUGUGAUGAAGGCUUUCGGGUCGUAAAGCACUGUUGUAUGGGAAGAACAGCUAGAAUAGGAAAUGAAUUUAGUUUGACGGUACCAUACCAGAAAGGGACGGCUAAAUACGUG
rnacentral:rRNA from 1 species